CACCGUGGCUCUGCGGUGCUGUGCCAUGAGCUCACCGUGGCUCUGCGGUGCUGUGCCAUGAGCUCACCGUGGCUCUGCGGUGCUGUGCCAUGAGCUCACCGUGGCUCUGCGGUGCUGUGCCGUGAGCUCACCGUGGCUCUGUGCCGUGUGCCAUGAGCUCACCGUGGCUCUGCGGUGCUGUGCCAUGAGCUCAGUGUGGCUCUGCGGUGCUGUGCUGUGUGCCAUGAGCUCACCGUGGCUCUGUGCUGUGUGCCAUGAGCUCACCGUGGCUCUGCAGUGCUGUGCCAUGAGCUCACCGUGGCUCUUUGUUGCUGUGCCAUGAGCUCACCGUGGCUCUGCGGUGCUGUGCCAUGAGCUCACCGUGGCUCUGCGGUGCUGUGCUGUGUGCCAUGAGCUCACCGUGGCUCUGUACUGUGUGCCAUGAGCUCACCGUGGCUCUGCGGUGCUGUGCCAUGAGCUCACCGUGGCUCUGUGCUGUGUGCCAUGAGCUCACCGUGGCUCUGCGGUGCUGUGCCAUGAGCUCACCGUGGCUCUGUACUGUGUGCCAUGAGCUCACCGUGGCUCUGCGGUGCUGUGCCAUGAGCUCACCGUGGCUCUGCGGUGCUGUGCCGUGAGCUCACCGUGGCUCUGCGGUGCUGUGCCAUGAGCUCACCGUGGCUCUGCGGUGCUGUGCCAUGAGCUCACCGUGGCUCUGUGCUGUGUGCCAUGAGCUCACCGUGGCUCUGUGCUGUGUGCCAUGAGCUCACCGUGGCUCUGUGCCGUGUGCCAUGAGCUCACCGUGGCUCUGCGGUGCUGUGCCAUGAGCUCACCGUGGCUCUGUGGUGCUGUGCCAUGAGCUCACCGUGGCUCUGCGGUGCUGUGCCAUGAGCUCACCGUGGCUCUGCGGUGCUGUGCCGUGUGCCACACUGUGUGCCACUCUGUGUGCUGUGUGCCGUGGGUUUACCAUGAGCACAGUGCUGUGCCGUGUGCUGUGAUCACAGUGCCACCAGGCCCUAUCAGCUCCCAUCAAAUCCCACCAGAUCCCACCAGGCCCGAACAACUCCUAUCAGAUCCAACCAGAUCCCAUCAGGUGCCUCCAGGCCCUUUCAGUUCCCACCAGAUCCUAUCAGACCCCACCAGGCCCUAUCAGCUCCCAUCAGAUCCCACCAGAUCCCAUCAGCUCCCAUCAGAUCCCACCAGGCCCAGUCAGAUCCCACCAGGGAUCCCAUCAGGUGUCACCAGCCCCUAUCAACUCCCAUCAGAUCCCACCAGAUCCCAUUAGGUGCCACCAGGCUCUAUCAAUCAGCUCCCAUCAGAUCCCACCAGAUCCCACCAGGCCCUAUCAACUCCCAUUAGAUCCCACCAGGUGCCACCAGGCCCUAUCAGAUCCCACCAGAUCCCACCAGGCCCCAUCAGAUCCCACCAGGUCCCAUCAGAUCCCACCAGGCCCUGUCAGAUCCCAUCAGGUGUCACCAGGUGCCAUCAGAUCCCAUCAGGUGUCACCAGGCCUUAUCAGAUCCCAUCAGGUCCCACCAGAUCCUAUCAGACCCCACCAGAUCCCACCAGAUCUCACCAGGCCCUAUCAGAUCCCACCCGAUCCCACCAGGCCCCAUCAGAUCCCACCAGGUUCCACCAGGUGCCAUCAGAUCCCUCUAGAUCCCACCAGGCCCUAUCAGAUCCCAGCAGAUCCCACCAGGCCCCACCAGAUCCCACCAGGCCCCACCAGAUCCCCCCAGGCCCUAUCAGAUCCCACCAGAUCCCAUCAGGUGCCAUCAGAUCCCAUCAGGUGUCACCGGAUCCCAUCAUCAGAUCCCACCAGGCCCUAUCAGAUCCCACUGGAUCCCUUCAGAUCCCACCAGAUCCCAUUAGGUGCCACCAGGCCCUAUCAGCUCCCAUCAGAUCCCACCAGACCCUAUCAGAUCCCAUCAGAUCCCACCAGGCCCUAUCAGAUUCCACCAGGCCCUAUCAGAUCCCACCGGAUCCCUUCAGAUCCCACCAGAUCCCAUUAGGUGCCACCAGGCCCUAUCAGAUCCCAUCAGAUCCCACCAGAUCCCACCAGGCCCUAUCAGAUCCCAUCAGAUCCCAUCAGCUCCCAUCAG
ensembl:lncRNA